CUCUUACCGGAUUUAGCGUGCCACUGGUCAGCUCAGCCACAGUGGAGAUAUGUUCUUUGAAAAGAAGCUCAUAAAAGAAAAGCUGAAGACAUAUUCAGGUACUGAUGCAAAUUGGACCAGCUUCACCAGAACAGAUGAAAAAAUCCACUCCAGUUCUGGCAUUUAAAACAUUUCUGAAGGAUGCGGUUGAUCUUCACUGCAACUGUGUUCUGGUCCAAACAGAAAGAAGACUUGAGCCCAAGCUUCCUCAGUCAAAACUGUGGCCAUCUUUGUCAUACCAGGGCAUUCCAUUCUUACAUGAUUGGGCACAUAUACCUUCCUCCAGACCAGGUUGCUCAAAGCCCCAUCAAACCUGAUCUUGAACACCUCUGGGGAUGGGACAUGCACAGUUUCUCUGGGCAGCCUGUGCCAGUGCUUCACCGCAUCCAUGGUAAAGAUUUUCUUCCUAAUAUUUAAUCUAAAUCUACCCACUUUUAAUUUAAAGCCAUUAUUCCUUGCCCUAUCACCACAACCUCUUGUAAAAGUCCUCACCUUUCCUGUAGGCUCCCUUAAGGUACUGGAAGGCUACUGUAACAUCUUGCAGCCUUCUUUUCUCCAGGCUGAAUGAUCCCACCUCUCUCUCUCUUCAUGGAAGAGGUACUCCAGCCAUUUGAUAAUCACUGUGGCCCUCCUCUGGACUUACUCCAGUAAGUCUUACUGGGCAAGAAGAAACAUCAGAAAGUACAUUUAAAUCUGGAAUCACUUCCACGGUCUGGCUGCUCAUAUUGUGCAAACUGAAAAGCAGCAUUUCCAUUUUGCAGUAUCUAUAUCCCAUUUAUCAUUUUAGCCCAGCAUAAACUUUAAGAGCAUCAGAACUAAAGGGCAAACAUCAGAAAAGGUACACAACUUCACUCUGUGUUGUAGCAAUAAAAGAUAUUUUUAAUUCAGCCUUUCCUUCUCUGUUCUGAUACUAUACUUUGUUGUGUAUUAAACCAAGCAAUUCUACCCAAAGGAACAGAUUUUGACAUUUAUCAUUAUAAAGACCACACUUAAAAGGACCCAGAAUUGAUGAGCCUGGUAGAAAUACAGCUUGUAGUUACUCACAGAGGCAACCAGAAAGUUAUCUCUCCCAGUUCUUCGGUCUUUGUUUCUUAUUUCAGAAAUUUUCUGCCCAGCUUAUAGAAAUACCCACUAUAGAAAGUGGAAUGGUAAUUAAGGAAGCUUUUCCUUUUCCCUGCUAUCUAUCCAUUACAACACUUGUUCCCUGUAAUUCAAAUAUACCACCUCUUACCAGCACAGCAAGUCAAGAAAUAUGAUUAUUCUUUCCUUAGGGACCAGUAAGAUUCCCCAAAUUGAACAUAAUGACAGUCAGACUGAUAACAUCUCCUCUAUUCCACCAGUUUUAAAUAAUUUCAGACUCAAGUGCUACUCUCUAUGGGAGAAGGAGUCAUACACUGAUUAAUUCAUCUGCUAGAGUUCCCACAAUCACUUUAAAAUGUUCUCCAAUACUAGCAUUUGGCAGAACACUGACUCUCAAACUCUGGUAUUCUAUGACUCCACAUUUAAUUGUUUUCACCUAAUCCUCUUUAGAGGUGUUUAAAUUAGUUUUCCCAGGGCUCCAUAGAUUCAUAGAUGCUAAAGGCUGAGAAAUGUCCUUGGAAUGGAUAGAUGCAACUCUUCAAAAAUAAGAAGAGGAUUAACUUCAGGAUGUGGCAUGCAGUGUGGAAAUAUAGAUGGGGGAAAGAAGAAAAAAAUAAAACAGAGCUAAACCAGAGUUUAUCCUUUUUCAAAGCCUAGCUUGGCCUGGAACAAGAAAAUUUUGUAACCUCAUUCUACCUCAUUUCUAUUUUCUUGCUACUGUGCUACUACCUGUGUAAGUCGUCACUGAAAACAGAAUCUUGGUGAGAACAUGCUUCAAAAUGAGAUGGGCAUUAGCCUAUCUCUCGAAGAACCACAUCUCUUUCCCAUUUGACACAAUAAUAGCUGGUCACAUAAGGAAUAAAUUCAACCAUCCUGUUUGUGAUGUCAGCAAGUUUCUCAGACUAAGCUGAUGGAUCGUGACUUUUUGUUUCUACUUUCUAGCAGUGGCCGUGGGAAUCUUCAUCUUUGAAAACAUAAAUUGAUAGUGAAAGGAUCUGGAGACAUGUGAAGUGUCUCUCAUUGCUGUCCAAUCUAUUCCUUUACUUAUUUUGAUUGUUUUGUGGUAUUUUGUAUAUUCGUUUGUUUGUUUUUGUAGUAGGCUUAAGGACAGUAAGCAAAAGUCAGUCUUCAUACUAAUAUGCUGUUUGGAUAGGCUUCUUCACUACAACUUUUAUAUGAACUAAUGUCAGCUCAAGCUGCUUCAUGAACUAGCUCAGUCCCUGAAGCUUUUUGUCCUGAAUGCCCUUUGGAUUGUAGCACUUCAAAUACACAUACCAUAUCUUUACACAUACUUAGCAAUCAGUACAAAGAGGAUUCCUUCUCAGAAGAUGUAAUUUUUUGUUUGAAAACAAC
ensembl:lncRNA